CCCUUAGAUGUUCUGGGCCGCACGCGCGCUACACUGAUGCAUUCAACGAGUUUCUUCCUGGUCCGAGAGGAAUGGGUAACCUUUUGAAAGUGCAUCGUGAUAGGGAUAGACUAUUGCAAUUAUUGGUCUUCAACGAGGAAUUCCUAGUAGACGUAGUUCAUCAGACUGCAUGGAUUACGUCCCUGCCCUUUGUACACACCGCCCGUCGCUCCUACCGAUUGAAUGCUCAGGUGAGCCAUUCGGACUUUCAUCAUGCUGGUUUCCAGUUUUGAUGAAGGAAAGUCUUGCGAACCUUAUCAUUUAGAGGAAGGAGAAGUCGUAACA
rnacentral:rRNA from 1 species